rnacentral:SRP_RNA from 1 species
GUCGAGCUUGGCAACGCAAGCUUAUGAUCCGAGUGGAGACAAUAAGGUGAUGGGAAUGUUUUGGUGAGAUCUACCUACUGGCCCAAGUUUAAUGGAGUUCGGUGGGCUACAAUGGCCUGGCGUUAGUCUCCGGCCGAAGGAAUCUGGGUUUAAAUUGGACCAUCACUUUU